GAUGAAGAACGUAGCGAAAUGCGAUACUUGGUGUGAAUUGCAGAAUCCCGUGAACCAUCGAGUCUUUGAACGCAAGUUGCGCCCGAAGCCAUUAGGCCGAGGGCACGCCUGCCUGGGCGUCACACGUCGUUGCCCCCCCCAUCUACUCCUUCGGGAUUGCGGGGGGCGGAUGAUGGCCUCCCGUGUGCCUCGCCGCGCGGUUGGCAUAAAUGCCAAGUCCUCGGCGACGCACGCCACGACAAUCGGUGGUUGCGAAACCUCGGUUGCCCGUCGUGUGCGGUCGUCGCGCAUCGAGGGCUCGAAAAAAUUGCCGGGCUCCGGCUCGGCUUUCAACGCGACCCCAGGUCAGGCGGGGUUACCCGCUGAAUUUAAGCAUAUCAAUAAGCGGAGGA
rnacentral:misc_RNA from 1 species